rnacentral:rRNA from 1 species
GUGGGGAAUAUUGGACAAUGGGCGCAAGCCUGAUCCAGCAAUGCCGCGUGUGUGAAGAAGGCCUGCGGGUUGUAAAGCACUUUUAGUGGGGAGGAGGUGCGCCGAGGCGAAUAGGCUCGGGGCAUGACGUUACCCACAGAAAAAGCACCGGCUAACUCCGUGCCAGCAGCCGCGGUAAUACGGAGGGUGCAAGCGUUAAUCGGAAUUACUGGGUGUAAAGGGUGUGUAGGCGGGAUAGCGAGUCAGAGGUGAAAUCCUGCAGCUCAACUGUAGAAUUGCCUCUGAUACUGUUAUUCUUGAGUAUCGGAGAGGUCGCUGGAAUUCGUGGUGUAGCGGUGAAAUGCGUAGAUAUCACGAGGAACACCAGAGGCGUAGGCGGGCGACUGGACGAUUACUGACGCUGAGGCACGAAAGCGUGGGGAGCAAACAGGAUUAGAAACCCUAGUAGUCC